rnacentral:rRNA from 1 species
CCUACGGGUGGCAGCAGUGGGGAAUAUUGGACAAUGGGCGCAAGCCUGAUCCAGCCAUGCCGCGUGAGUGAUGAAGGCCUUAGGGUUGUAAAGCUCUUUCGCACGCGACGAUAAUGACGGUAGCGUGAGAAGAAGCCCCGGCUAACUUCGUGCCAGCAGCCGCGGUAAUACGAAGGGGGCUAGCGUUGCUCGGAAUCACUGGGCGUAAAGGGCGCGUAGGCGGACAUUUAAGUCGGGGGUGAAAGCCCAGGGCUCAACCCUGGAAUUGCCUCCGAUACUGGGUGUCUAGAGACCGGAAGAGGUGAGUGGAACUGCGAGUGUAGAGGUGAAAUUCGUAGAUAUUCGCAAGAACACCAGUGGCGAAGGCGGCUCACUGGUCCGGAUCUGACGCUGAGGCGCGAAAGCGUGGGGAGCAAACAGGAUUAGAUACCCCUGUAGUC